rnacentral:rRNA from 1 species
GGGGAAUUUUUCGCAAUGGGCGAAAGCCUGACGAAGCAACGCCGCGUGGAGGAUGACGGCCCUCGUGGUCUUAAACUCCUGUCUAGCGGGACGAAAGUAUUGGAGGUGAAUAAUCUCCGGUAUUGACUGUACCGCUGGAGGAAGCUCCGGCCAACUCCGUGCCAGCAGCCGCGGUAAUACGGAGGGAGCAAGCGUUGUUCGGAAUUACUGGGCGUAAAGGGCGCGUAGGCGGCCCGCUAAGUCGAACGUGAAAUCCCCAGGCUCAACCUGGGAACUGCGUCCGAUACUGGCAGGCUUGAAUCCGGGAGAGGGAUGUGGAAUUCCAGGUGUAGCGGUGAAAUGCGUAGAUAUCUGGAGGAACACCGGUGGCGAAGGCGGCAUCCUGGACCGGUAUUGACGCUGAGGCGCGAAAGCUAGGGGAGCAAA